UACAGAGGUCCCAAGCGUUGUUCGGAUUCACUGGGCGUAAAGGGUGCGUAGGCGGUUUGGUAAGUCUGAUGUGAAAUCUAUGGGCUCAACUCAUAGUCUGCAUCGGAAACUGCCGGGCUUGAGUGUGGGAGAGGUGAGUGGAAUUCCUGGUGUAGCGGUGAAAUGCGCAGAUAUCGGGAGGAACACCUAUUGCGAAGGCAGCUCGCUGGGACGUCACUGACGCUGAGACGCGAAAGCGUGGGGAGCAAACAGG
rnacentral:rRNA from 1 species